AAAGAUAAGUCAGUCUUAUAUUACGAACAAGCGCUAAAGAAGGGAGUUGUAUAUAUCCUAAAAAGAAUUUACCUCGAGCCAGUCCUACUUAUUCUUCUUUUCCCGUUCCUGACCCUGAGUGUAGAGGGGUUAGCCUGGUCUUGAUUGUUUAUUCUAUUUUCUCAGUUGCAGAUGUUGAAGGAAGCCUGAUUUUACUCAUAAAUCCUUUAAAAGAUAUAGCCG
rnacentral:lncRNA from 1 species